rnacentral:rRNA from 1 species
CCUACGGGUGGCAGCAGUGGGGAAUAUUGGGCAAUGGGCGCAAGCCUGACCCAGCAACGCCGCGUGAAGGAAGAAGGCCUUCUGGUUGUAAACUCUCUUUUAGAGGGAAGCGCAGCAGACGGUACCUCUUGAAUAAGCCACGGCUAACUACGUGCCAGUAGCCGCGGUAAUACGUAGGUGGCAAGCGUUGUCCGGAUUUACUGGGUGUAAAGGGCGUGCAGCCGGGAAGACAAGUCAGAUGUGAAAUCCCGCGGCUCAACCGCGGAACUGCAGUUGAAACUGUUGUUCUUGAGUACCGGAGAGGUCAUCGGAAUGCCUUGUGUAGCGGUGAAAUGCGUAGAUAUAAGGAAGAACACCGGUGGCGAAGGCAGAUGACUGGACGGCAACUGACGGUGAGGCGCGAAAGCGUGGGGAGCGAACAGGAUUAGAUACCCGAGUAGUC